CAAUCAGUCUGGAUACAAUGGAGACCUCAGAAGUAGCUUUUACAGCGCUAAAUCGAGUCUGCCUGCUUUGAAAGCUGAGAAGCAGCAUCUCAGCAAGCCAAUCGACGUGAUUUAUUCUUCAGCAGCGAGGGCUACCGUACCUGAAUUGCAAACAUCUAGUUGACCACUAGACGGCAGCAAAGAGUUACGAUUCUGUCUCUAAUUGCAGGAAAACAUAGCAAGGUCUGGAUUGAAACCAGAAAGAUAAAAGUGGCCCCUGGAAUAAAGCAGAUGCAGAGAUUCCCCCUUGCCCAGUCUGAUUGGACUACAAUCACUAUCAUCCCCAGCCAGCAUGGGACAAGAAACGUCAACUCGAAGGUUCCUGCGCUUCUGCUCACCUGUGCUGCUUUUCGAAACUUGCUGACUUUCAAGAGGAG